AACGAACGCUGGCGGCAUGCCUAACACAUGCCAGUCGAACGAGACCUUCGGGUCUAGUGGCGCACGGGUGCGUAACGCGUGGGAACCUGCCCUUAGGUUCGGAAUAACUCCCCGAAAGGGGUGCUAAUACCGGAUAAUGUCUUCGGACCAAAGAUUUAUCGCCUUUGGAUGGGCCCGCGUUGGAUUAGCUAGUUGGUAGGGUAAAAGCCUACCAAGGCGACGAUCCAUAGCUGGUCUGAGAGGAUGAUCAGCCACACUGGGACUGAGACACGGCCCAGACUCCUACGGGAGGCAGCAGUGGAGAAUAUUGGACAAUGGGCGAAAGCCUGAUCCAGCAAUGCCGCGUGAGUGAUGAAGGCCUUAGGGUUGUAAAGCUCUUUUACCCGGGAUGAUAAUGACAGUACCGGGAGAAUAAGCGCCGGCUAACUCCGUG
rnacentral:rRNA from 1 species